rnacentral:rRNA from 1 species
GGGUUGUGAGGUUAAGCGACUAAGCGUACACGGUGGAUGCCCUGGCAGUCAGAGGCGAUGAAGGACGUGCUAAUCUGCGAAAAGCGUCGGUAAGGUGAUAUGAACCGUUAUAACCGGCGAUGUCCGAAUGGGGAAACCCAGUGCAAUUCGUUGCACUAUCGUUAACUGAAUACAUAGGUUAACGAGGCGAACCGGGGGAACUGAAACAUCUAAGUACCCCGAGGAAAAGAAAUCAACCGAGAUUCCCCCAGUAGCGGCGAGCGAACGGGGAGCAGCCCAGAGUCUGAAUCAGCUUGUGUGUUAGUGGAACGGUCUGGAAAGUCCGACGGUACAGGGUGAUAGUCCCGUACACCAAAAUGCACAGGUUGUGAACUCGAAGAGUAGGGCGGGACACGUGGUAUCCUGUCUGAAUAUGGGGGGACCAUCCUCCAAGGCUAAAUACUCCUGACUGACCGAUAGUGAACCAGUACCGUGAGGGAAAGGCGAAAAGAACCCCGGCGAGGGGAGUGAAAAAGAACCUGAAACCGUGUACGUACAAGCAGUGGGAGCACCUUCGGGUGUGACUGCGUACCUUUUGUAUAAUGGGUCAGCGACUUAUAUUCUGUAGCAAGGUUAACCGUAUAGGGGAGCCGCAGGGAAACCGAGUCUUAACUGGGCGUUAAGUUGCGGGGUAUAGACCCGAAACCCGGUGAUCUAGCCAUGGGCAGGUUGAAGGUUGGGUAACACUAACUGGAGGACCGAACCGACUAAUGUUGAAAAAUUAGCGGAUGACUUGUGGCUGGGGGUGAAAGGCCAAUCAAACCGGGAGAUAGCUGGUUCUCCCCGAAAGCUAUUUAGGUAGCGCCUCGUGAAUUCAUCUUCGGGGGUAGAGCACUGUUUCGGCUAGGGGGUCAUCCCGACUUACCAACCCGAUGCAAACUACGAAUACCGAAGAAUGUUAUCACGGGAGACACACGGCGGGUGCUAACGUCCGUCGUGAAGAGGGAAACAACCCAGACCGCCAGCUAAGGUCCCAAAGUCAUGGUUAAGUGGGAAACGAUGUGGGAAGGCACAGACAGCCAGGAUGUUGGCUUAGAAGCAGCCAUCAUUUAAAGAAAGCGUAAUAGCUCACUGGUCGAGUCGGGCUGCGCGGAAGAUGUAACGGGGCUAAACCAUGCACCGAAGCUGCGGCAGCGACACUAUGUGUUGUUGGGUAGGGGAGCGUUCUGUAAGCCUGCGAAGGUGACCUGUGAGGGUUGCUGGAGGUAUCAGAAGUGCGAAUGCUGACAUAAGUAACGAUAAAGCGGGUGAAAAGCCCGCUCGCCGGAAGACCAAGGGUUCCUGUCCAACGUUAAUCGGGGCAGGGUGAGUCGACCCCUAAGGCGAGGCCGAAAGGCGUAGUCGAUGGGAAACAGGUUAAUAUUCCUGUACUUGGUGUUACUGCGAAGGGGGGACGGAGAAGGCUAUGUUAGCCGGGCGACGGUUGUCCCGGUUUAAGCAUGUAGGCUGGUUAUCCAGGCAAAUCCGGAUAAUCAAGGCUGAGGUGUGAUGACGAGGCACUACGGUGCUGAAGUAACAAAUGCCCUGCUUCCAGGAAAAGCCUCUAAGCAUCAGGUAACAUCAAAUCGUACCCCAAACCGACACAGGUGGUCAGGUAGAGAAUACCAAGGCGCUUGAGAGAACUCGGGUGAAGGAACUAGGCAAAAUGGUGCCGUAACUUCGGGAGAAGGCACGCUGGUGUGUAGGUGAAGUCCCUGCGGAUGGAGCUGAGACCAGUCGAAGAUACCAGCUGGCUGCAACUGUUUAUUAAAAACACAGCACUGUGCAAACACGAAAGUGGACGUAUACGGUGUGACGCCUGCCCGGUGCCGGAAGGUUAAUUGAUGGGGUUAUCCGUAAGGAGAAGCUCUUGAUCGAAGCCCCGGUAAACGGCGGCCGUAACUAUAACGGUCCUAAGGUAGCGAAAUUCCUUGUCGGGUAAGUUCCGACCUGCACGAAUGGCGUAAUGAUGGCCAGGCUGUCUCCACCCGAGACUCAGUGAAAUUGAACUCGCUGUGAAGAUGCAGUGUACCCGCGGCAAGACGGAAAGACCCCGUGAACCUUUACUAUAGCUUGACACUGAACAUUGAGCCUUGAUGUGUAGGAUAGGUGGGAGGCUUUGAAGCGUGGACGCCAGUCUGCGUGGAGCCAACCUUGAAAUACCACCCUUUAAUGUUUGAUGUUCUAACGUUGGCCCCUGACCGGGGUUGCGGACAGUGUCUGGUGGGUAGUUUGACUGGGGCGGUCUCCUCCCAAAGCGUAACGGAGGAGCACGAAGGUUAGCUAAUCCUGGUCGGACAUCAGGAGGUUAGUGCAAUGGCAUAAGCUAGCUUGACUGCGAGCGUGACGGCGCGAGCAGGUGCGAAAGCAGGUCAUAGUGAUCCGGUGGUUCUGAAUGGAAGGGCCAUCGCUCAACGGAUAAAAGGUACUCCGGGGAUAACAGGCUGAUACCGCCCAAGAGUUCAUAUCGACGGCGGUGUUUGGCACCUCGAUGUCGGCUCAUCACAUCCUGGGGCUGAAGUAGGUCCCAAGGGUAUGGCUGUUCGCCAUUUAAAGUGGUACGCGAGCUGGGUUUAGAACGUCGUGAGACAGUUCGGUCCCUAUCUGCCGUGGGCGCUGGAGAAUUGAGGGGGGCUGCUCCUAGUACGAGAGGACCGGAGUGGACGCAUCACUGGUGUUCGGGUUGUCAUGCCAAUGGCACUGCCCGGUAGCUAAAUGCGGAAGAGAUAAGUGCUGAAAGCAUCUAAGCACGAAACUUGCCCCGAGAUGAGUUCUCCCUGAGACUUUAAGUCUCCUGAAGGAACGUUGAAGACGACGACGUUGAUAGGCCGGGUGUGUAAGCGCAGCGAUGCGUUGAGCUAACCGGUACUAAUGAACCGUGAGGCUUAACCUUACAACGCCGAAG